UGGGCGGAUAGGAACCAGGCAGCGCUUGUGUGUCGCUUGGGCCGAAAACCGCCGAGAUGAUAUCGAUGUUUUAAAGGUCGUAUGUGCUACUGUGUGUAGCAUGUAUAUUACCGAAAUGUCGCACAUUA
rnacentral:snoRNA from 1 species